GACGAACGCUGGUGGCGUGCCUAAUACAUGCAAGUAGAACGCUGAAGGAGGAGCUUGCUUCUGUGGAUGAGUUGCGAACGGGUGAGUAACGCGUAGGUAACCUGCCUGGUAGCGGGGGAUAACUAUUGGAAACGAUAGCUAAUACCGCAUAAUAGUAGAUGUUGCAUGACAUUUGCUUAAAAGGUGCAAUUGCAUCACUACCAGAUGGACCUGCGUUGUAUUAGCUAGUUGGUGGGGUAACGGCUCACCAAGGCGACGAUGCAUAGCCGAACUGAGAGGGUGAGUGGCCAGCCUGAGAGUGAGACACGGCCCAGACUGCUAGAGAAGGGAGCAAGAGGGAAUCGGGGGCAAGGGGUGGAGGACUGACCAAGCAACGCCGAGGGAGGGAAGAAGGUUGUCGGAUCGGAAAGCUCGGUUGUAAGAGAAGAACGAGUGUGAGAGUGGAAAGUACAGAGUGUGACGGUAUCUGACCAGAAAGGGACGGCUAACUACGUG
rnacentral:rRNA from 1 species